rnacentral:rRNA from 1 species
UACAGAGGGUGCGAGCGUUGUCCGGAAUCACUGGGCGUAAAGGGCGCGUAGGCUGCCUGAUAAGUAGGGGGUGAAAUCCUGUGGCUUAACUGCAGGGCUGCCUCCUAGACUGUUAGGCUCGAGCACGGUAGAGGCAGAUGGAAUUCCCGGUGUAGCGGUGGAAUGCGUAGAGAUCGGGAAGAACAUCGGUGGCGAAGGCGGUCUGCUGGGCCGUUGCUGACGCUGAAGCGCGACAGCGUGGGGAGCAAACAGG